UAGCUCAGUCGGUUAGAGUGCUGGUCUGUCACGCCAGAAGUCGCGGGUUCGAACUCUAU
rnacentral:tRNA from 4 species